rnacentral:rRNA from 1 species
GGCGCACUGGUGCGUAACGCGUAUGCAACUACUCUAACUGGGAAUAGCCCCGAGAAAUCGGGAUUAAUACUUCAUAACAUUUAUCAUUCGCAUGUUGAUAAAUUAAAGUUUCGACGGUUAGAGAUGGGCAUGCGUGACAUUAGCUAGUUGGUGAGGUAACGGCUCACCAAGGCUGCGAUGUCUAGGGGUUCUGAGAGGAUUUUCCCCCACACUGGUACUGAGACACGGACCAGACUCCUACGGGAGGCAGCAGUAAGGAAUAUUGGGCAAUGGACGAAAGUCUGACCCAGCCAUGCCGCGUGCAGGAUGACGGCCCUACGGGUUGUAAACUGCUUUUGUAUAGGAAGAAACCUCACUACGUGUAGUGGGCUGACGGUACUAUACGAAUAAGCACCGGCUAACUCCGUGCCAGCAGCCGCGGUAAUACGGAGGGUGCAAGCGUUAUCCGGAUUUAUUGGGUUUAAAGGGUGCGCAGGCGGAAUGAUUAGUCAGUGGUGAAAUCCUACAGCUCAACUGUAGAACUGCCAUUGAUACUGUCAUUCUUGAGUACAGUUGAAGUGGGCGGAAUGUAUCAUGUAGCGGUGAAAUGCAUAGAUAUGAUACAGAACUCCUAUAGCGAAGGCAGCUCACUAAACUGUUACUGACGCUCAGGCACGAAAGCGUGGGGAGCAAACAGGAUUAGAUACCCUGGUAGUCCACGCCGUAAACGAUGAUCACUCGUUGUUGGCAACACAUAGUCAGCGACUGAACGAAA